UUUUUAAAGUAUUUUCUCACACCGAAAACAUGCUUGGUUGUAAACUAGACUGUAAAGUCUGGCGUGGAUUCCUAGACCAGGGGAAGCAGAGAUAUCUUCAUUCACUGUAGUCGAUAUGAAGCAGUUUCAUUUACUUCAGUAUUUGUAAUUUCCUGUAUGACUACCCUUUGCUUGGCUCCCUCAUUCUCCUCAAAUCCUGCCGCUGACUGUCUGAGGCAGUAGAUACCAGGAGUUCCAAAGGGAACCAUUGUUGAGUUUGUUUAGGUGUGAGAGGGGGAAGAAUAUACAGGUGACCCACAUUUUAGGCAUACAGAGAGGUGCACAGCGAUUCGGAAGUGUGUCAGCCAUAGACAUAUCCUGAUGUGAAUCGAGCUUAUCCAGCCUUUUCUUCCCCCAGUAACUAAUCUAGUGGGUAGACUUUACAUUAAAUACCAUACUGGAUUUUGCUACUGUUUUCACCAAAAAAAAAAAAGUAAAACAUUUUCUUCUUCAGUAUUUUUUCUCCUCUGUGUUUAAGAGCUUAAAGGUUGUUAAGCGAAGCCGGUUCUGUGAUCGGGCUUUCAGUUACUCAGCGAAGCUUGGCAAGCCACGGUUCCUACCUUGGGAUGUGCUAUUUAGGAUGAGGUAUUUUCCAGGGACUCUUUAGUCACCUCCUUCCUUCCUUUGGGAGAAACAAUGACAUUAUAGAUGCCGAUUUCUAACGGUAACUUUGCAGAGAAAUUCUAUAACAUUUUGUUUUAUAGUAUAUUCUGUCUUUGUUACCAAUGCUGAGAAGUGAGAAAAAGGCAUCUUAAAUCUGUUUUUAUAAUUAUAGAACAAAUAAACUAAAUUGAGUGUUUGAUAUUCUUGUCCAAGUUGGGGUAGAAAAUGCCUCUUAAAUAUAAUAUAACAUGUCAACUUACCUCUUUUUUUAGUUUUUUUAAAAUUUAACUUAGGCAUAUUAAUUGGCAAGGGUAAAUAUGGACAUUUACUUAAUUGUACUUUCAAGGUUAACCAGAGAAUAUUAAACAAACACGUUUUUGAAAUAAAAUAUACUUAAUUUUCCUACAUUUAGAAAGUUGUAGAUACUGAUUAUUUCUCAAGACUUGAUGGGUGUGGGGAUACCAGAAAUGUGUUUUUACUCUGGGUUUUUGGUAGCGUCAGUAAUUUAUGUGGAGAAAUCAUAAAUUCCAUGACAAUAUGAUAUAGUGAAUUGCAUUCAUCUGUAAUGUUACAUUUCAUUUAAGUUUUUGCAUUCAAGAAUUAUUCUUGACUAUGCUUUAAAAAAAAAAAAAGGUCUUGGUAGAUAAAUGACCCGUAAAAUAAUCUCUUCUCAGAGAAUUAACUUCAUGAACUUAGCUUAUAAUCCAAUAUAUCAUGAGAGCAGCUCUGUAGCUGUCUAAUUGGAAUUCUCACUGAAGAAGACAAAAACUGCAAUACUACUUCAGG
rnacentral:lncRNA from 1 species